rnacentral:lncRNA from 1 species
GGCCUUGAUUGGCAGUUGUUCCCCCAUGACCCCCCUCCCCCUGAUUCUAGGGGAGGCUUUAACAUGUAAAUGAAAAUGCUGUGAGCUAUACAAAUGCAAAUCAGGGUAGCAGGGGGAGUUUUACCCCAGGUGAUCUUUUUCUAAAAGGUGUUAACUUCAUUUUAAGAAAAUCUCUGGUAUAAAUAGAUGAGGCUCAGUAUUGCCUAAUUAUAGACCCUUAUAUUUUAGCUUGAAUGGAUUUAUUUAAUGAAAGUAUGCUAGAUUAAUUACUGUGUAUGUCAUUAGCAAUGGCCAAUGUUAUGUAAAAAAGAUUAUUUAGUCUUUUCUCUCUCUCUCUCUCUCCUGGGAACAAGUUAAAGAUAAAACGCCAGUUGUUAAGAAGUUAAAAUUUGCAUGAAAUAUUUUGAGAUAACCAAGAUAUUAAAAUGUAAAAAAAAAAAGUAUUUCUAUAAUUUCAUGGGUUCUGAAUGUUUUAAAAGCAGUUGAAAAGUAAUUAUUAUGCGUGUGAGAGUUCAUGACCUGUAAGGGUUUUUACACUUCCGGGUUGACCGGAGCGUGAGUGACGAGGAAGAAGGAGCGGAGAGUUAAUGGCGUCGAGCAGCUAACAGUGGACUGUGUGUGUCGUCAGUGUCGUGUUUUAUCACUAACAGACUGUGAACUGUGUCGGACGACGUGCUGUGAGUGUGUGAGUUGGACUCUCCAUCGCAGUCGAAGUGUUUGUGUUUUAUUGGACACGAAGCAAGUUCGGCUAAGCUAGCUAGCAGGAGCUAAGCUAGCUAGCAAGAGCUAGGCUAGCGGCGCGGCCAUUGUCGAGAGGAGGCCUGCGCGGACGGGAGGAGCUUUACCGGGUCGCCACGAAGAAUGUUGCCGACGGACGGAGCUUCGCUGCCGCAGAGGGACACGGAGGUUUAUCGCUGCGGGCAUUUUGUUUUCACAGACUAACCUCGCCUCAUAACAAGGCCGCGACCUCCUGUUAGCUCGGAGCCACGUCUGCAAGUCCAUAUUUACACGAUGCCGAUAAUGACGCCAUUGUGUCUGCCUGUAAGACAUUACGAGACAGUGCGCUGGACAACAAACAACCAGAUCUUGCAUCGCAGGCGGACGCUGUGAGGAGUUCAGCUCGGAGUCGAUCGAGGACAAAGAGGGUAAGAUUUAUUAGAUUAGAUCCGUCUUUGGUCAAUGUGACUAUUAUUCUAUUAAAUAAUAGAUGUGUUGUAUCCAUACGCAGUGCAUCGCGCAGUACUGAUCGUCUUUAUUGAUUGUUUUUACAGCUGCUGGAAGCGAGCCAGAGUGCUAGCUGAGGAUAAGGUGGACCUUUGGAAGUGCGCCGCCAUGGACCUGAUGUCUGAGGAGGAAGACGGCACAAGAUGGCGGGUGUCUGGAUGAAUUGUGCGACCUCCGUCCUUUCGCAGCCGGGAGCUCACCGAGCUCUGCGCCACACUGCAGUCACAUGAGAGGCGAUUCCGAAGUAGCAGCGCACCACAGACGUCUGCAAAAACAGACACUUCGCGGUGCUGUAGGAUUUGGGGCCUCUUGUGAGCUUCCCGUUUGUUGUGUGGGCAGAUAAUGCUCUGUACAUGCUGUGUGAUUGUAUUUGUGCUAAUAAAACUCUUUGAAUAAACAACUCCUUCCUGGCAAAUGUUCC